rnacentral:rRNA from 1 species
AUCGAACGCUGGCGGCAGGCCUAACACAUGCAAGUCGAACGAAUGGCGGACGGGUGAGUAAUGUCUGGGAAACUGCCUGAUGGAGGGGGAAAAAUACUGGAAACGGUAGCUAAUACCGCAUAACAUCAGAUGUGCCCAGAUGGGAGUAGCUAGGUGGUGGGGUAACGGCUCACCAAGACGACGAUCCCUAGCUGUGCUGAGAGGGUGACCAGCCACAUUGGAACUGAGCCACGGUCCAGACUCCUACGGAGGGCAGCAGUGGGGAAUAUUGCACAAUGGGCGAAAGCCUGAUGCAGCCAUGCCGCGUGUAUGAAGAAGGCUUUCGGGUUGUAAAGUACUUUCAGCGGGGAGGCGUUACCCGCAGAAGAAGCCCCGGCUAACUCCGUGCCAGCAGCCGCGGUAAUAC